UGCCAGCAGCCGCGGUAAGACGAGAGGCCCGAGCGUUAAUCGGAAUCACUGGGCUUAAAGGGUGCGCAGGCGGAUUCGUGUGUGUGUCGUGAAAUCCCCCGGCUCAACCGGGGAAUUGCGGCGCAAACUGCGAGUCUUGAGGCAGGUAGGGGUCGUCGGAACGAUCGGUGGAGCGGUGAAAUGCGUUGAUAUCGAUCGGAACGCCAAAGGUGAAGACAGGCGACUGGGCCUAGCCUGACGCUCAGGCACGAAAGCGUGGGGAUCAAACAGGAUUAGCUA
rnacentral:rRNA from 1 species